UACGUAGGGGGCAAGCGUUGUCCGGAUUUAUUGGGCGUAAAGAGCGUGUAGGCGGCCUGGAAGGUCAGCUGUGAAAACUCGAGGCUCAACCUCGAGACGUCGGUUGAAACCACCUGGCUAGAGUCCGGAAGAGGAGAGUGGAAUUCCUGGUGUAGCGGUGAAAUGCGCAGAUAUCAGGAAGAACACCAAUGGCGAAGGCAGCUCUCUGGGACGGUACUGACGCUGAGACGCGAAAGCGUGGGGAGCGAACAGG
rnacentral:rRNA from 1 species